rnacentral:lncRNA from 1 species
UUUACGAAUUACGAUAAUAAGCUGCGAAAUAAAAUAAAUGAGUUCAGUGUGGCCUUGAGGCUUGAAUAAUUAGGGUUUUCUAAAUACAAAUUAAGCACAGUGGUGAGCGAGGUGUUACAUCCCUCCCACCUUAGAAAAUUGUUUUCUCCAAAUUUGUCUCGAACAGGUCCGAAAACUUUUCCUCAUCUCACUUUCCAACUCCCCAUGUCACCUCUUCUGGUGUAUGAUGCUGCCACUAUACUUCACCAUGAGAAUCGCCUUGUUGUGCAAGACCUUGUCAGUCCAUCCAAAAAUCUCCACAGGGAAUUCCUCAUAAGUCAUAUCGGCUUGUACCUGCAUCUCAUCGUGAGGAAUGAUAUG